rnacentral:tRNA from 1 species
GAGGGUAUAGCUUGGUAGUAAAGUGCAUGCUUAGCAUACACAAGGUCCUGGGUUCAAUCCCCAGUACCUUCA